CGAGUUUGAUCCUGGCUCAGAUUGAACGCUGGCGGCAGGCUUAACACAUGCAAGUCGAACGGCAGCACGGGCUUCGGCCUGGUGGCGAGUGGCGAACGGGUGAGUAAUGCAUCGGAACGUGCCCAUUUGUGGGGGAUAACUACGCGAAAGCGUGGCUAAUACCGCAUACGCCCUGAGGGGGAAAGCGGGGGAUUCUUCGGAACCUCGCGCAAUUGGAGCGGCCGAUGUCAGAUUAGCUUGUUGGUGAGGUAAAGGCUCACCAAGGCGACGAUCUGUAGCGGGUCUGAGAGGAUGAUCCGCCACACUGGGACUGAGACACGGCCCAGACUCCUACGGGAGGCAGCAGUGGGGAAUUUUGGACAAUGGGGGCAACCCUGAUCCAGCCAUGCCGCGUGAGUGAAGAAGGCCUUCGGGUUGUAAAGCUCUUUCAGCCGGGAAGAAAACGCACUCUCUAACAUAGGGUGUGGAUGACGGUACCGGAAGAAGAAGCACCGGCUAACUACGUG
rnacentral:rRNA from 1 species